CUCUCUCUCUCUCUCUCUCUAUUGUUUCUUCGAUUUUCUACUUUGGAAUAUCUACUGUUAGGGCUAAUACCUAAAAUUAAGCUUUUCUAUUUUAUUCCAAUUAUUGUCAAAUUAAUUAUGGUUGAGAUAAUAGUUAUUAGAUCAGCAAAAAGUACAUGAGAUUCUGGUUUUGAGCAAAGGCGUACAUACCAAUUGGGUUAACAUUACCCCAG
rnacentral:misc_RNA from 1 species